UAUACCUACGGGAGGCAGCAGUCGGGAAUAUUGCGCAAUGGAGGAAACUCUGACGCAGUGACGCCGCGUAUGGGAAGAAGUAUUUCGGUAUGUAAAGCUCUAUCAGCAGGGAAGAAGCAAGACGGUACCUGACUAAGAAGCCCCGGCUAACUACGCGCCAGCAGCCGCGGUAAUACGUAGGGGGCAAGCGUUAUCCGGAUUUACUGGGUGUAAAGGGAGCGUAGACGGUAGGGCA
rnacentral:rRNA from 1 species